rnacentral:rRNA from 1 species
CGGGAAUUUUGGGCAAUGGGCGAAAGCCUGACCCAGCAACGCCGCGUGAGGGAUGAAGUAUUUCGGUAUGUAAACCUCGAAAGAAUGGGAAGAAUAAAUGACGGUACCAUUUAUAAGCUCCGGCUAACUACGUGCCAGCAGCCGCGGUAAUACGUAGGGAGCAAGCGUUGUUCGGAUUUACUGGGCGUAAAGGGCGCGUAGGCGGCGCGGUAAGUCACUUGUGAAAUCUCUGAGCUUAACUCAGAACGGCCAAGUGAUACUGCUGUGCUAGAGUGCGGAAGAGGCAACCGGAAUUCUUGGUGUAGCGGUGAAAUGCGUAGAUAUCAAGAGGAAUACCUGAGGCGAAGGCGGGUUGCUGGGCCGACACUGACGCUGAUGCGCGAAAGCCAGGGGAGCAAACG